UGAGCCACUAUUUGCAUUGAGCUCAUGAAGGAGAGACACCCCCGCCUGUAGUCUUGAAGAGAAUGCUUCUCUGCCUUCUGAAGGAUCCUGUGGAUCACUCUCCGAAGGCAAUACUGUAACCUGGUCCAUGUGCUUGCCCAAGGGGUGCCAUGCACAGAGCCAUCCGCACACAGGCCGCUCCUUGAGUUCACAGAGCCCUGAGUAAUCAUCCCACCACCACCAAAGAGCCUCAGGGGCUGGAAACUCCAACGGCUUCUAGAUCAGGCAGGGAUCAAAUCGGAGUACCUGGUUUCCAGUACAAACCCAGUGCGCAUGCUGGCACCUGGUUUAUCUGCUGACAGAACACCCAAGGAGGGCGUGAGGAGCCUGGCUCUUCCCCUGAGUGGAUCUUCUCUAGGAAUAAAGCCCUGAAAAAGAAGGCAGUUUUGGAACAACAAGAAGACAAGAUAGAGAAACGGCAGAUGUAAACCCAACCAAACCAUUGAUUACAUCAAACAUGAGUGCACCAAACACUUGAGAAGAAGAAAAAAGGAAGACCCAACUACGUGCUACUUAAAAAGAGGAGUAAUAAUAUUUGAAGAAAUAAUGAAUA